UCCUCUUUCUUCAACAUCAUGAAAAUACUUCAAGAUGUUUGGUAGAAAGAGAACUUAAAGUUGUGCAGAGAUUGAAACUAAAACUGUGGAAAACUAUAAAACAUUUGUGACCAAAACAAAGACAACAUCAUUACAAAUCAUCAGCUGCUGAAAGCUUUUUGUCUGAAAUGGGAAACGCAGGCAGCUCUGUCAACACUGGCUGACAGCUGAAAGACACAAUCGAACCAAGAAAUCUGACACUGACACAAUCAUGCCUGACAGAAAAUGAAACUGAGCAGUUUUCAGGACAUCAGGAUCUCAAGUAUCUGAGGACUCUGGCCUCCCUAUUGGUGUUGGCGUGGGUCUGGGACUGGUUGUUGCGAUUACUGUAAUUGCACCAAUUCUGUACUGCAAUACACAUAUAGUGUACACAAUACAUAGUUUCAUACAUAGGUUUUAUGAGUGUUUCUCUUCCUUUGAGUGGAAAAAAAUAUAUGGGAAAAUCACAGGUCAAUUACUGGAACUUGCCUCUAUAUGUAUAUAUAAAGCAGGAAGUGGGGAGAUAUGACUCUAUGACUAUUUUUAAUGUUGAAUGGAUUAAGGAACCAAUAGCUCUUAGGCUAAACAUAUAGAUACACAAAUAAAAAUAUCUUCUUACAUUUAUUCAAAUGCUACUCAUUUUAGCGUGUUGUGCUGUUGAGGGAUCAUUCAAGAAGAGGACAAAUGCUGGACAUGGUACAGAGUGAAAUAUUGG